UACGAAGGGGGCUAGCGUUGCUCGGAAUCACUGGGCGUAAAGCGCACGUAGGCGGCUUCUUAAGUCAGGGGUGAAAUCCUGGAGCUCAACUCCAGAACUGCCUUUGAUACUGAAGAUCUUGAGUUCGGGAGAGGUGAGUGGAACUGCGAGUGUAGAGGUGAAAUUCGUAGAUAUUCGCAAGAACACCAGUGGCGAAGGCGGCUCACUGGCCCGGUACUGACGCUGAGAUACGAAAGCGUGGGGAGCAAACAGG
rnacentral:rRNA from 1 species